rnacentral:rRNA from 1 species
UACAGAGGGUGCAAGCGUUGUUCGGAAUUACUGGGCGUAAAGCGCGUGUAGGCGGCCUAUUAAGUCAGACGUGAAAUCCCUUGGCUCAACCAAGGAACUGCGUCUGAUACUGGUAGGCUUGAGUGUCGGAGGGGAUGGCGGAAUUCCCGGUGUAGAGGUGAAAUUCGUAGAUAUCGGGAGGAACACCUGUGGCGAAGGCGGCCAUCUGGAAGACAACUGACGCUGAGACGCGAAAGCGUGGGGAGCAAACAGG